rnacentral:rRNA from 1 species
UACGGAGGGGGCUAGCGUUGUUCGGAAUUACUGGGCGUAAAGCGCACGUAGGCGGCUUUGUAAGUUAGAGGUGAAAUCCCGGGGCUCAACCUCGGAAUGGCAUUCAAUACUGCUUCGCUCGAGUACUGGAGAGGAGGCUGGAAUUUACGGUGUAGCAGUGAAAUGCGUAGAUAUCGUAAGGAAGACCAGUGGCGAAGGCGGGUCUCUGGACAGUUCCUGACGCUGAGGCACGAAGGCCAGGGGAGCAAACGGG